AGCUCUCUGUGAAAUGGACCAAUCAGCAGGAUGUGGGUAGGGCCGGAUAAGGGGAUAAAAACAGGCCACCCGAGCUAGCUGCUGCAGCCUGUUUGGGUCUGCCUUCCUUUGAGGGGGGUUUUGUUCUUUUGCUCUUGGCAAUAAAUCUUGCUGUUCCUUGGUCUUUGGGUGUGUGCCAUUACUGGGGAGGUCUGCAGCUUCACUCCUGAGGCCUUUACAACUGAGGUGGGUGAGACAAGGAACCCACCACAAACCCAGCGGGAGGGAGGAACAACUCCAGAUGCACUUCCUUAAGAGCUGUAAUGCUCACCGCAAAGGUGUGCAGCUUCACUCCUGAAGCUAGCGAGACCACGAACCCGCCAGAAGGAAGAAACUCUGAACACGUCUGAACAUCAGAAGGAACAAAUUACGGACACACCAUCUUUAAGGACUGUAACACUCACCGCAAGGGUCCGUGGCUUCAUUCUUGAAGUCAGCCAGCGAGACCAAGAACCCGCCAAUUCCGGACACACUAAGACAUCAGGAGGGCACUGUAUUGCCAGGUCCCUGGAUGUGGUGUGAAGACUGUUCUCUACAAAACUCUAGAAGGCACGAUUUUCAUCAGAUUCACAGCCAGCGUGGCCAUACAGAUGUCCAUAGAGGUGAGGGGGAAAAAGAAACCACUCAGGUUAUUACUGGUGGCAGAGCUGGAUCAUUAACCACAAGCGCGUGUUUUAGAUAAGAACUGCCAGCAUUAAGUCAAGCAUAUUGGAAAGUGGUCAUCCUAAGCCAAGACCCUUGCAGAAGAACAGAAGGCCAAAGUCUUGAAUGGACAGCGCAAUUUUGACCUCCCAGAUAUUUUUAAUAAUGAUUUGGUACACACUUGACUCUGAACAUAAUGAUGAGAACACACUAUCCAAGCUACUGGAGCAGGCUAUGAGUUAUCCUGAAGAUGUAGUUUUGUUUUGGUUCUCUUUAGUACUCGAUAGCCAACAAGCCCAAGACAUGUCUCAUCUUAGUGUUGUUGUUGACACUCAUUCAGAGAUCAUGCUUGAAGGAAAGACCUCAUCAGCCUUUUGUGGGAGAGACUUUGGGCUAAUCAUAGCAUAAUACUCUAUUUUUAGAAAAUCUCUCUUUGAAAGUUUCUGUCUGCAGUACCAGAUUUUGCCAUAUUUGUGUACUUACUUUUACUCUUUUCAAAUGUUCAAGUUACAUAGUUCUACCUGGCAUAUAAAAUAUAUGUAAUUUACAAAAUGGAUGUAGUAGUUUAUAUUAUCAAAAAAUGAUAUGAUUCUUAGCUCAAAAAAUGUCUUCUGCACUUUUGCCUCUCUCUGCCUGUAUCAUUCUUCUCCAGAUAUUUUCAUUGCUGGUAUUUUAUCGGGCAAUUUCUUGAAGAUUCCCUUCUUCAAGGACUCCAUUGAACACCUAUUUAAAAUUGCAACAUCCAGCCCCCCUGUCACUCCCCAAUUAUGUGAUUUAUUGCCAUUCUUGACUUAUUUUAUCUCUGUAUAACUUAUCACCAUCAAAUAUAAUAUGUUUAUUUGUUUUGUUGUCUAUCCUUUACCUCACAGAAAUGAAAGUUCCAUGAGGCUGUUUUAUGUGGUUCUUUGACUGUUGUAGACUCAGGACCUAGAAUAGUGCCUAACGGGUAGUAGUCACUUAAAAUAAAUGUUGUAGGCGACCAAAAUAUGUGUGCAAACAACCUAUAUGAGACCUUUCAUAGACUCAUAGAGCUACUUCCAAUGUGGUCCAGGUGCCAGAAGCAUCAGCAUCACUUAGGAACUUUGCUUGUUUUCCUAAUACAGCCUUGUUUGGAUAUAUAAUUGUUCAUAUACCAAACAAUUCAUUAAAGUGUAUGAUUAAAUGAUCCAGAGUUGUACAACUAUCACCAUCAUUUUAGAAUAUGUUCAUCACUCCCCAAAAAACCCAUACCCAUUAAGUCACCUCUACUUUUCCUCAACUUUUUCAGUUCUAGGCAACCACCAAUCUACUUUCUGUCUCUAUGGAUAUUUCAUAUAAAUGGAAUCAUACAACAUGUGGUCCUUUCUUGUGGCUUCUUUCACCUAGCAUAAUGUUUUUGAGUUUUGUCCUUGUUAUAGCAUGGAUUAGUAAAUUAUUCCUUUUCACUGUGAGAUAAUUGCCCAUUGUAUGGCUACACCACAUUUUAUUUACCCAUUCAUCAAUUGAUGAAAAUAUGAAUUGUUUCCACUUUUUGUCUAUUAUGAAUAAUGCUACAUUCAUGUAUACAUUUUUGUAUGGACACCUACAUAUAUUCACUAUCUUUGAAAGCACUUAAUUGCAAAAUUUUUAUUCAGUUUCUCAAGCAUCAUUUGACAUAUUACUAUUUUUACUAGCUUUAUUGAGGUAUGAUUGACAAAAUUAUAUAUAUGUAAGGUGAAUUAUGUGAUGUUUUCGUAUGCAUAUACAUUGUGAAGUGAUGACCACAAGCUAACAUCCAUUACCUCAACUAGUUACCAUUUGUGUGUGUGUGUGUGUGUGUGUGUUUAGUGAGAACAUUUGAGAUUUGCUCUCAGCAAAUUUCAAAGCUACAUUAUUAGUAACUAUCAUCAUCAUGCUGUAUAUUGGAUUUCCAGAAUAUAUUCAUCUUGCAAUUAAAAUUUUGUACCCUGUGACCAACAUCCCUCCUUUUCCUCCACUUUUCAGCCCCUGGUAACUACCAUUCUACUCUCUGUUACUGUGAACUCAACAUUUUUUUUCAGAUUCCACAUAUAAGUGAGAUUAUGCAGUAUUUGUCUUUUUCUGUUUGGCUUAUGUUACUUGGCAUAAUGUCUGCCGGGUUUAUUCAUGUUAUCGCAAGUGGCAGAAUUUCUUUAUCUAUUCAUCUCUCUGUGGACACUUAGAUUAAUUCCUUCUCUUGGCUACUGUGAAUAGUGCUGCAAUGAACAUGAGAGUGUAGAUAUCCUUUUGAGAUGCUGACUUCAUUUCCUCUGGAUAUGUACCCAGAAAUGGGGUUAAUAGUUCAAAUGGCAGUUCUAUCUGUAAUUUUUUGAGGAACUUUCACACUGUUUUCCAUAAUAGCCAUACCAAUUUACAUUUCCACUAACAGUAAUGCAGACUUAACAGUCCAAUCCAGGAGGUACUGAAUCAGAGGCUGAUUUUUAACAAAACCCUAGGGUGAGUUGCUCAUUAAAGUUUGGAAAGCAGGUAUGGAGUAGGUACUCAAUGAAUGUUUCCCAAACCUAAAUGCUAUAUACUAACAGCUGUGGGCUAGCAAAAUGUACAUAAUUAUGGUCUUUUAUAAUUAAUGCAGUUUAGAUUAAUGAACAAAGAGAAGCAAUAACAGAAGGGAGCACUGGGCUUUAAAUGUUUAGUGUUCUAGUGUGUAUCAUUUCUGAUUCUCCUGAAAUUCCGCAUUCAGGUUGAAUCAUUUGUUAGGCAUAAUCUUGUGAUGGAAACACUAAAGGAGAUAUGAAGAGGAAAGGACAUUUUAAUUAAAAAAUCAGAUGUUAUUUGCCAUAAUUAGUGGAGAUAAUCACCCAUUAGUCAAUAAACUUAACAGGAAGUAUUUUUUAAAUAAUUAGGAUGAUUAAAUACAGGAUUAAAAAGUUGUAAGAGUGAAUGCCGUAUGUUUUUAUUGUUUCAACUCUUAGUGUUUUUUUAGUAAUUUCUAAAUCCUGUAAAUGUAAAAGUACAACAACAGAGGUACUUUUAGAAAGUACAUUUUUUUUCUGUCUUACUUGGACUGGUACCUAUUAUUUUCUACUUUGGGCUGGUACCUUGAAACACUGAAGGCAGAGAAAAAUGGGAAUAAUUAUAGUACCAAAAAUGUUUUGAAUGAAUAAACACAUCAUUAUAUCAAUCAAUCAAUAUGAGGCCUUAGAUACUAAGGUGAGGGCAUUGGAUAUUAUGAUUAGCAUUAAGUCUUUCUGGGAAAUAAGACCAUGGAGAGUUUUCAACCUAAAUCGUCCUAGGAAAUGAGGAGUAGCUGCCCUGUAGGCUAGAGGGAGAAACUGCCAGUGAGAAAGUGGGUACAACAGAGAAAACCUCUUUCCAGUUGUAUACAUGCUGGCCUCUCUCUACAUCCAAGAAUACUCUGAAUAUUGCUUAAAGGACCAUAAAUACUUUAAAAACUGAGCCAUAUAUAAGCCUACUCCUAUGUAUUUUCAUAUUAAAAAAUUUACGUGUG